AGGCUGUACAAGAAGCAUGACACCAACCAGCAUCUGCUUCCACCCAUGAGAGAAGAUAAACAGAAGCCAGCUCUUCAGGAAUAAAAUGGAAAGAAAGAGGCAAGACAGAAGAAAGAAAGAGAUACCAAGCAUUUUCAACAACUAGUUCUUGAGGGAACCUAAAAGUGAGACUUAUGCCCUCCUGUUAGUGUAGCACCAAGCUACCAAUGAAGAAUUCACCCCUACAUCCCAAACACCUCCCACCAAGCCCCACCUUCAAAACUAGGAAUCCAAUUUCAAUAGAUGGACUCUCACUCUGUCACCCAGGCUGGAGUACAGUAGCAGAAUUUUGGCUCACUGCAACCUCCUCUUCCUGAGCUCAAGCAAUUCUCUUGUCUCAGCAUCCAGGUAGCUGAGACAACAGGAAAAUCAGACUUGUGUUCAUGGAAAUAUAAGAAGAAUGUUGGAAAUGUCUGUCAUCAAUCCUAGAUGUUCUGUUUGCUGAGCUGCAUAAAGAAGAAAGAGAAUUUCAAGAAACCAUUUGGGGAUUUUAAAAACAGAAUUUUACAUUGUCUGAUAUCAUUGACUAAUGUUCCAGAAGGGCAGAUUACCUGAGCAAAUAGGUAAUUUCUCCUGAGCUCCUAGAGUUAUUACUGAUAAGACUGCAUUAACUUUUGUGUGAGAGAGUACACUGUUUAUACAGCAAAGGAAUUCUCAUGUAUGCCUUGUGAGUACCAGAAAACAAGUGUCACAUACCACUGAACACUUCAAAUAAUUUUUCUAUCAAAAGAGAUAGGAACCAAAAUUUCAACCAAUCAAAAACAUUAAAACACUUAUGAAACAUAUAAAUGUAGUCAUUAUUGUUUCUUACAUGUUCUGGUGAUAGAAUAUGCAAUAUAAAAUAAAAUAUACUCAAAGUGUGCUUUGUGCA
rnacentral:lncRNA from 13 species